UCGCUCUUCAACGAGGAAUCCCUAGUAAGCACAAGUCACCAGCUUGUGCUGAUUACGUCCCUGCCCUUUGUACACACCGCCCGUCGCUACUACCGAUUGAAUGGCUUAGUGAGGCCCUCGGAUUGACUUUCAGAGACUGGCAACAGUCUUUGAUUGUUGAGAAGUUGGUCAAACUUGGUCAUUUAGAGGAAGUAAAAGUCGUAACAAGGUUUCCGUAGGUGAACCUGCGGAAGGAUCAUUAUUAUUUGGGUCGGGUUUACCUCUUGUCUAGUUUUUUGUGCUCAAUAUUCAAGAGGAGGUAAACUUUUACCAAAUAAUCCUAUUUCAAAAUAGGAGCAAGAACCCCCUUAUAUUUAAAACCCACUCUUAAAAUAUUCUUACGUAUUUUGAAUGAUAAAAAUUAAAGAUCACUUUCAACAACGGAUCUCUUGGCUCUCGCAUCGAUGAAGAACGUAGCGAAGUGCGAUAAGUAAUGUGAAUUGCAUAAUUCCGUGAAUCAUCGAAUCUUUGAACGCAAAUUGCACUUUCUGGUAUUCCGGGAAGUAUGCCUGUUUGAGGGUCAGUUAAAUUAAAAUCGGUGUUGUUGCUACCCGUAGUGGUGUGUGAUGCAUCGGAAUUGAGUCGUUCUUUACCUUUGGUUUAAGUGACUUAAAAUUAUGUUCGAUUUUUUGAACGUAUUUAAAUUAUUACUUACGUUCGUAAUAUUCACAUAUUAGGUGCGGUCAUUCACAUGAUUUCGCGUCUAUAAUUUUUCAUUAUUUGACCUCAAAUCAGGUAAGAAUACCCGCUGAACUUAAGCAUAUCAAUAAGCGGAGGAAAAGAAAAUAACAAUGAUUCCCUUAGUAACGGCGAGUGAAGGGGGAUAAGCUCAAAUUUUAAAUCUGCUAGGUUUUACCUAUCAGAGUUGUAAUUUGAAGAAGCGUUUUCCGCGUCUCGGUUGACCCAAAUCCUUUGGGAUAUGGUAUCAUGGAGGGUGAGAAUCCCGUCCGGUUGACUUUGUGACGCUUUACGAUACGUUUUCAAAGAGUCGAGUUGUUUGGGAUUGCAGCUCAAAAUGGGAGGUAAAUUUCUCCUAAGGCUAAAUAUUGGCGAGAGACCGAUAGCGAACAAGUACCGUGAGGGAAAGAUGAAAAGAACUUUGAAAAGAGAAGUUAAAUAGUACGUGAAAUUGUUAAAAGGGAAGCAUUUGGAAUCAGUGUUGCUGGUUAGGUAGAAAAUCAGUUUUUUUUCUCAGGAUCCCUGUACUUAAAUGAGUUGUAUUUUAAACCUUUUUUGUGCAGUGUUUAUCUUGGAAAAAGGAUGUACUUUUCUAUUCUAACAUACGGUCAACAUCAGUUUUUUUUGUCGGAUAAAGGUCUUGAGGAAGGUAGAUCAUUUUUCUCACGAAAAAGAUUGUUAUAGCCUCGAGAAUCAUAUACGAUGAAAAAGACUGAGGAAAUUAAACUAUGUGCCUUUGGCGAUAGUUAUGUGGCCUUAAGAGGGUGGAAAUAUUAAGCUAUCUAAUAGAUUGAUGUUUCUUGCCUUUUUAUGAGUUAUAUAAUUAUUAACAUAGUUCAAGAUGUUGACAAAAUGGUUUUAAAUGACCCGUCUUGAAACACGGACCAAGGAGUCUAACAUGUAUGCGAGUGU
rnacentral:rRNA from 1 species